UACGUAGGGGGCAAGCGUUGUCCGGAAUUACUGGGCGUAAAGCGCGUGUAGGCGGGACGGUUAGUCGGACGUGAAAGGCUGGGGCUCAACCCCAGAUCGCCGUUCGAAACUGCCGUUCUUGAGGGUCGAAGAGGAGAGUGGAAUUCCUGGUGUAGCGGUGAAAUGCGCAGAUAUCAGGAGGAACACCGGUGGCGAAGGCGGGUCUCUGGGCCGUAACUGACGCUGAGGAGCGAAAGCAUGGGGAGCGAACAGG
rnacentral:rRNA from 1 species